GUCCUUGGUUAGAGUCUCUGGACAGAAAGUGCAGGUGGUUCAGUUUCCCAGGAAUUUAGGACAAAAAAUAAUGCUUAAUGUCCGAACUCAUUGCCUUUCUUGGAGACUGUGCAAAAAAGGGAAAAGUGAUCUAAAGAUGUCCUCGGGUGAUUAACAUAUCAUUAGCAUCUCAUUUACAUUGCAGUGUGCUCCCCCAUCCACUGAGCAAACAGAGUGAGUCAUGGAUAAAGUCAUGGAGUCCAAAGUAGACUAUGUGUGAAGUGACAUCAGUUUCCCAGUGACAGAAGUUAUGUUUCAGAGAGGUGGAGUCAAGAUGGUGGCUUAGUAGCAGAAAAAGUCUAUUCCUCUGUGAAAACCCUUCCAACCCAAUCAAAAACAAAGCACUUUAAGGGGGACAGAAAAGCAAAUCCAAGAAAACAGAGCUUCAGGACCCUCCUACUCAAUUCAACUUUAAAGACAUGUGGGAAAGGAAAGAAUUUAAGACAAAGCAAGAGGACUUCGGGGUCUAUUGUCCCAAGACUUGAAAUUGAAAACAUAAAGUUGUGCCUGGGUGAUAAAGAUGGAGAAGGAGAAUUAUAGAAUUCUGAGUCACAAAGAAGGCAUGUUGAGGAAAUAAAAAGCAAAAUCUAAGUGACUGCUUUAGUAGA
rnacentral:lncRNA from 1 species